rnacentral:rRNA from 1 species
AACGUAGGACGCAAGCGUUAUCCGGAGUUACUGGGCGUAAAGCGCGGGCAGGCGGUUACUUAAGUCUGAUGUGAAAUCUCCUCGCUCAACGGGGAGCAGCCAUUGGAAACUGGGCAACUGGAGCCUGACAGAGGUAGACGGAAUUCCGGGUGGAGUGGUGAAAUGCGUAGAGAUCCGGAGGAACACCAGAGGCGAAGGCGGCCUACUGGGUCAGUACUGACGCUGAGCCGCGAAAGCCAGGGGAGCGAACGGG